GCCAUCUACCGCUCAGACUCGUUAUUACUGGCGUAGGCAAUUUCAGUCCAUUGGAUGCCAUUCGCAGUUAGUUCAGUAGCGUGGAUGGAGAGAAUAACGCGUGGCUGGAGGAACAAUUGAAAAAUGGAUAAGAUAAUACAACAAAAGGAUGAUCAAAUUAUGAAGCUGCAGGCCCAAUUAUUGGAACAACACAAAAUAUUAGAUAACAGCAAAGCUAAGGAUGCUCACAUUUUGAGUCUACAAGCUGAGCUAGGGGAAAAGAACAAAUUGGAACGGAACAGUUUCCAAACAGUGAAGGAGGUUUUUCCAAACUCAUCCCUAACUGAACAUGAGGAUGAAUUGGCAUUAGGCGAACACAGUCAGUUAUUCAGUCCACCACCUGACAGUGUGUUAUAGUUAAAUUCUGUUAGUGCUGCACUAAAAGAAUUGUUAGUAAUAAGUCCAUGCAGCGAAGGAAGUGAACAAUUGUGGGACUGUAUUUGGGCUGAAAAUGGGUGUGGUACGGAAACCCAGAAAUAGCACGAGUUCAACAUAAAACAUGAAUUAGAUUUUUAGUGGGGGAUCAAGUCAAGGCUGGAAGUGUUACAGGAUGGAAGAGUGAGCCUACAGUUGAAAAACACUGAAAGUGCAUUACCAUUAAGAGUGUUGGUGAAGCUGGGUACUUAAAUCGCCCUAAAGAUGUUUCGUUUCGUUGGCAUUGCAGCGAUGAACAUCAUACAUGGACUUUUUAGGAAAGGAUUUUUAACAUACUGGGAACACAACUAUCAACAAUGCAACAUUCUAGGGGUGCUAUUUUAUCAUUCAAGAGCCUUAUACAAUGAUUUUCAUCUGCAAUUUGUAUGGCCUUUCCCAAGCUUCUGCUAGAAGUUGAAUCUAUAAGUCAUGUAAGUCACAUGAGCAACAAUUGAGAUGCUUAAUGGUGUUGUUUUUCUUUUCUUAGCAUAGGUUAAUAGUAACAUUGGAUCUGAAAAGAUUCUUGGUUGGUGCAAGACACUGAAUAAAUUGUAAAGAUUGAAUGGAUGACAUGACAUUUCUAUACUUAAUUUGGAUUCCCGAGACGGUAUUUUAUAUUUAAAAAAUUGAAGUGCAUAUCUGGGCUCCCUUCCUUUCCGUAGCCCCGUUUCCCCUUGACUCGUAAUAAGCCCGUAGGGGGUCAUGCCCCUACUGUACGGUAUAUAUAAAAACAACAUAUACCGAGGUUUGGAGGGCUCUGGCCGGAAAGGGGACGUGGGGUGCUGCUUAGUCCGAUGAUGUGUUCACGGAGGGCUCUGUGGCUGCCCACAAAUCCGAACUAAAGGUUAAUCGCUCCUGUAAAAAUGUUCCAAAUCUUCAGCUCUUCUUCCGGCUUCUCUUAGCCAAUCACCGGGUAAUCUCCCCGGUGGGUCAACAAGGCAGUGUCUCCCCCUGCCUGGGUUGACGGCAACUUUUGAAAGGGCUAUUGUGCCUUUUUAAAGUUGCAAAAAUAAUUGUAGUGU